rnacentral:rRNA from 1 species
UGCCCUAGUAACGGCGAGUGAAGCGGCAACAGCUCAAAUUUGAAAUCUGGCCUCGGCCCGAGUUGUAAUUUGCAGAGGAUGUUUCUGGCGAGGUGCCUUCCGAGUUCCCUGGAACGGGACGCCACAGAGGGUGAGAGCCCCGUAUGGUUGGACACCAAGCCUGUGUGAAACUCCUUCGACGAGUCGAGUAGUUUGGGAAUGCUGCUCUAAAUGGGAGGUAAAUCUCUUCUAAAGCUAAAUACCGGCCAGAGACCGAUAGCGCACAAGUAGAGUGAUCGAAAGAUGAAAAGCACCUUGAAAAGGGGGUUAAAUAGUACGUGAAAUUGUUGAAAGGGAAGCACUUGUGACCAGACUUGGGCCGGGCGGCUCAUCAGGGGUUCUCCCCUGUGCACUCCGCCCGGCACAGGCCAGCAUCGGUUUUCGCGGGGGGAUAAGACCGGCGGGAACGUAGCACCCUCCGGGGUGUGUUAUAGCCCGUCGGACGAUACCCUCGCGGG